GGUGAUGCAGAGCUUGCUCUGCUGAUCAGUGGCGAACGGGUGAGUAACACGUGAGUAACCUGCCCUUGACUCUGGGAUAAGCGCUGGAAACGGCGUCUAAUACCGGAUACGACCUUCCCCGGCAUCGGGUGGGGGUGGAAAGAUUUUUUGGUCAAGGAUGGACUCGCGGCCUAUCAGCUUGUUGGUGAGGUAAUGGCUCACCAAGGCGACGACGGGUAGCCGGCCUGAGAGGGUGACCGGCCACACUGGGACUGAGACACGGCCCAGACUCCUACGGGAGGCAGCAGUGGGGAAUAUUGCACAAUGGGCGAAAGCCUGAUGCAGCAACGCCGCGUGAGGGAUGACGGCCUUCGGGUUGUAAACCUCUUUUGGCAGGGAAGAAGCGAAAGUGACGGUACCUGCAGAAAAAGCACCGGCUAACUACGUGCCAGCAGCCGCGGUAAUACGUAGGGUGCGAGCGUUGUCCGGAAUUAUUGGGCGUAAAGAGCUCGUAGGCGGUUUGUCGCGUCUGCUGUGAAAUCCCGAGGCUCAACCUCGGGCCUGCAGUGGGUACGGGCAAACUAGAGUGCAGUAGGGGAGACUGGAAUUCCUGGUGUAGCGGUGGAAUGCGCAGAUAUCAGGAGGAACACCGAUGGCGAAGGCAGGUCUCUGGGCUGUAACUGACGCUGAGGAGCGAAAGCGUGGGGAGCGAACAGGAUUAGAUACCCUGGUAGUCCACGCCGUAAACGUUGGGCGCUAGAUGUGGGGACCAUUCCACGGUUUCCGUGUCGCA
rnacentral:rRNA from 1 species